UGCAUAUUUUGUUAAGAAGAUAUUAAUAAAAGUUGUUCGUCUUGAUGAGGGCUACAACUUUGCUUAAUAUCUUUUUAACAAAUUAUGCGUCUUUAAGGAGAUACGUCUGUGCAUGCGCAAUACCGUAACUCCUUACGCUUGCAUAUUUUGUUAGGAAGAUAUUAAUAAAAGCUGUUCGUCUUGAUGAGGGCUACAACUUUGCUUAAUAUCUUUUUAACAAAUUAUGCG